rnacentral:rRNA from 1 species
UACGUAGGGUGCGAGCGUUGUCCGGAAUUAUUGGGCGUAAAGAGCUCGUAGGCGGUGUGUCGCGUCGGUCGUGAAAACUUGGGGCUUAACCCUGAGCUUGCGGUCGAUACGGGCAGGCUAGAGUUCGGUAGGGGAGACUGGAAUUCCUGGUGUAGCGGUGAAAUGAGCAGAUAUCAGGAGGAACACCGGUGGCGAAGGCGGGUCUCUGGGCCGAUACUGACGCUGAGGAGCGAAAGCGUGGGGAGCGAACAGG